rnacentral:tRNA from 5 species
GGAUGUAGCCAAGUGGAUCAAGGCAGUGGAUUGUGAAUCCACCAUGCGCGA